rnacentral:rRNA from 1 species
GACGAACGCUGGCGGCGUGCUUAACACAUGCAAGUCGAACGGUAAGGCCCUUCGGGGUACACGAGUGGCGAACGGGUGAGUAACACGUGGGUAAUCUGCCCUGCACUUCGGGAUAAGCCUGGGAAACUGGGUCUAAUACCGGAUAUUCAGCUUUCACCGCAUGGUGGUGGUUAGAAAGUUUUUCGGUGCAGGAUGAGCCCGCGGCCUAUCAGCUUGUUGGUGGGGUAAUGGCCUACCAAGGCGACGACGGGUAGCCGGCCUGAGAGGGUGAUCGGCCACACUGGGACUGAGACACGGCCCAGACUCCUACGGGAGGCAGCAGUGGGGAAUAUUGCACAAUGGGCGAAAGCCUGAUGCAGCGACGCCGCGUGGGGGAUGACGGUCUUCGGAUUGUAAACCCCUUUCAGUAGGGACGAAGCGCAAGUGACGGUACCUGCAGAAGAAGCACCGGCCAACUACGUGCCAGCAGCCGCGGUAAUACGUAGGGUGCGAGCGUUGUCCGGAAUUACUGGGCGUAAAGAGCUCGUAGGCGGUUUGUCGCGUCGUCCGUGAAAACUCGGAGCUUAACUCCGAGCUCGCGGGCGAUACGGGCAGACUUGAGUACUACAGGGGAGACUGGAAUUCCUGGUGUAGCGGUGAAAUGCGCAGAUAUCAGGAGGAACACCGGUGGCGAAGGCGGGUCUCUGGGUAGUAACUGACGCUGAGGAGCGAAAGCAUGGGUAGCGAACAGGAUUAGAUACCCUGGUAGUCCAUGCCGUAAACGGUGGGCGCUAGGUGUGGGGUCCUUCCACGGAUUCCGUGCCGUAGCUAACGCAUUAAGCGCCCCGCCUGGGGAGUACGGCCGCAAGGCUAAAACUCAAAGGAAUUGACGGGGGCCCGCACAAGCGGCGGAGCAUGUGGAUUAAUUCGAUGCAACGCGAAGAACCUUACCUAGGCUUGACAUAUACAGGACGACGGCAGAGAUGUCGUUUCCCUUGUGGCUUGUAUACAGGUGGUGCAUGGUUGUCGUCAGCUCGUGUCGUGAGAUGUUGGGUUUAGUCCCGCAACGAGCGCAACCCCUGUCUCAUGUUGCCAGCACGUUAUGGUGGGGACUCGUGAGAGACUGCCGGGGUCAACUCGGAGGAAGGUGGGGAUGACGUCAAAUCAUCAUGCCCCUUAUGUCUAGGGCUUCACACAUGCUACAAUGGCUAGUACAGAGGGCUGCGAUACCGUGAGGUGGAGCGAAUCCCUUAAAGCUGGUCUCAGUUCGGAUUGGGGUCUGCAACUCGACCCCAUGAAGUCGGAGUCGCUAGUAAUCGCAGAUCAGCAACGCUGCGGUGAAUACGUUCCCGGGCCU